GGCCCCCAAGUGGACAUAUGGUCUUUGGGAAUCGUGGGCAUCGAAAUGGUGGAACGAGAAGUUCCUUCCUGGAAUGCAACUCCUGUCUUGAAAAUGUCAGAAUUACAGAUGUACGCACUAAAGUAUCCAAGAUUUCUGUGCAACAGAAAGGCUUUCUCACCUGCAGUUUUCAGUAGAAAAGCAACAAACCUUUGAAAGGCUAAACCUCAACGUAACUGUGACCUUCAAUCAACACUUCCUUCUUCCAAUUUCUUAAGAUCUCUUUGUCCUGGGCACUCAGUAUGGCCUUUUUCCUCAAAGUUCUUUAGCUGUCUUGAAUGCUUACAGCGUAAAAGGUAAUCCCUGAUCUAUUUUCAACUCCCUGCUCAGAUGCACACUGCUGGAAGGGAGCUAGGACUGGUACUGGAGACCUGGCAGCUUGUCCAGGAAGCAAAAUUUUUGAAAUAAUGAAAAUUUGGAGAAGCAUGCAAGUCCAGGUGGUGAACUCAAAUAUGCAAGUACUUGCAGUUUCCUGACAGCACUUUACAGUUCAAGGG